rnacentral:tRNA from 1 species
GCAGAAAUGUCCGAAUGGUUACGGAGGUUGGCUUGGACUCUGCCCGCAUAGGUUUGAAUCCUGCUGACUGCG